UUCCCACCUCCUGUUGGAGUCAUUAAAGGAGUGCCAAACAUGCCAGCACACACGUGUCACCCUCACCCUGCGCUGUCUGGCACCCUCAAAAACAAUUCCUGGUGCCUUCAGCAGAAUUGUAUGGAUGAGCAGAGAAGAGGAGCCUGGGGAAGGUACUGAUGGGCUCUUUGGUGUUGAGUCCCAGACCAGGGAUGUGCAGCCCACAGCUACCAACUGAAGGAAACACCUGAGGAGCAAAUGUGUCUCCCAGAGGUACCUGCUGUUCACAGAGAAAAGCUGAAAGCUCCAUGUCACCCAAGAUCUCUGGUAAAGUGUCAUACAGACGACAGCCAUGGUGCUCAUCCACCUCAGGCUUGAUGUGCACCAGCAUCUCCCCAUCUCCCUCAGGACUUGAGCACUGCCCUGGAAAAGCUGUGAAGGGGAAAGUGUCAGGAAAGGGAAAUGGAUGGGAACCUUGUCCUGCUGUUCACUCAACUCUGAAGCUCAUGGAAAUAUUUUACAGCUCCAAGAAAAUGAAUGGUUACAAUUUUUAAAACUACCAUUUCUCCAAAUUCCCAACUGGUUCCUUUCUCUGGUGCUUUCCUCUAGCAAGAGGAAGGGGAGAGAUCAGCCCUAAGCAAACGAAGCCCUUUUCCCAGUAGCUCAGAUGCCGACUCUCCCUCUCUUCAGCACCCAGAGCAGGCUGUCUGCUCUGGACUGAGAGUUGUCUCGUCAGACUCGCAUUUCAGCCUUGCCACCUGACAUGUUAUGACAAGCUUUUAGCUUUGGAGCAGCGGUGCAUGGAAACAUGUCACUGCCUAGGGAGCAGCACGGCACAGGCUGCCAGAUCCAGCUCCUGCCGCGGCGGUGUCAGCCCCUCCGAGCCACACACCCAUCCCAGCCAUUGCUCCCAGGGAGGGAACAACCCGGCAUGCUUCAAAUGGCCUAAGCAGACCCGGGGCAAAUGUGUGACCUCCCACAAGUAAGAGAUUGGGAGCUAAGAAGUGAAGCUGAGGGCAUUUUUCAAGAAUUAAGUGCUUGUAGUUUGCAGAACCAAGACUGUCUAAGAACCCAAAAAGAGGAUGUUGGAACUGGAAACUUCCCAUUGGGAUCAGUUGGUUAACAGGGGACAGCACGGGCUCUGCUGAUUUGUCUGUGCCUAUUGCUACUGGUGG